rnacentral:lncRNA from 13 species
AUGAGUUCAUUAAGCUACUCCCCUCCUGCUAAAGAAGAGGAGGUCUGCUGGACGGAGAAAGAAGUUAUUGUGAAAGAGGAGAAGGAAGAGGAGGCUGUUACAGUUAAAAAGGAAGUAGAGGGUGAAGCUGUUACAGUGAAAGAAGAAGAAGAAGCUUUCGGAGUGAAAGAGGAGGAAGAUAAACAAGAGAAUGUCGUUUUUGUUGAGGAGGAAAAUAUGACUGUAUUAGUAAAAGAAACGGAACAAGUUUUUGGAGUGAAGGAGGAGGGGGAGAUUACUGUCACAUUGGAGGAGGAGGAAGAAGAAGAGGAAGAAGAGAAUAAUGGAGAUCUGAUUAACACCAGUGAGUACUGUCUUAAACUGGGGCACAAACUAUGUUGUUGUUGAAUCCAUGUCUCUGAAUAUCUCUUUCUGUCGAACUAAUGUGAUUUUAAAGGGUAUUUCUACUGAAGUUAUGGGUGAUUCCAGUUCUAUGGACAUUACAUGUUGUACCUGUGGCGUGGUUAGAGCUUUGGACUAGUAACCGAAAGGUUGCAAGUUCAAAUCCUCGAGCUGACAAGGUACAAAUCUGUCGUUCUGCCCCUGAACAGGCAGUUAACCCACUGUUCCUAGGCUGUCAUUGAAAAUAAGAAUUUGUUCUUAACUGACUUGCCUAGUUAAAUAAAGGUAAAAUAAAUAAAAAAAUAAAAUACAUUUUGUACGCAAAUCAAAACUUUAUUUAAGUCUCACAGAAUAGAUAGACAAAAUAUAAAUUGUCUGUAGUACCCCUUGGGCAGAGUGUAUACCCAAGAAAUCUGGAAUCUACAUUUUGGCAUGUUGGAGAAAUAAAAACAAAUGGAAGCUGGAUGUUACAUGAAGCUUUUUUUUGGCAGACUGAACAUAUUAGCACAAGUCUGUGGUUAAUUCUGUGGAAAGCUCAACCUGAGCAAUGCACAAAUAAAGGGAGUCAUUUCCAAAUGAAACAAUGUUCAUAAUUAUCCUUAAGGACUAUAUGUUGGAGUUCAGGCUUCAUCCUUAAGGACUGUUAAAGUCUAUAUGUUGGAGUUCAGGCUUCAUCCUUAAGGACUGUUAAAGUCUAUAUGUUGGAGUUCAGGCUUCAUCCUUAAGGACUGUUAAAGUCUAUAUGUUGGAGUUCAGGCUUCAUCCUUAAGGACUGUUAAAGUCUAUAUGUUGGAGUUCAGGCUUCAUCCUUAAGGACUGUUAAAGUCUAUAUGUUGGAGUUCAGGCUUCAUCCU